rnacentral:piRNA from 1 species
AGGAGCUAGAGAAAGUAACCAGGGAGC